AAACAACGCAGUUUUAGCGAGAACUGCAAUGGACAAGCUAAAGAAAAUAUGGAAAAACAAAAACAUCACAAAAGCUACGAAGAUCAGGCUCGUUCGGACACUUGUUUUUCCCAUUUUUCUAUACGCUGCGGAGACGUGGACUUUGCGAACAGUCGAGAAGAAGAAGAUUGAUGCUCUGGAGAUGUGGUGCUGGAGGCGAAUGCUAGGAGUCUCAUGGACUGAAUUUCGCACCAACGUCUCUAUACUCCAAGAACUCGGCAUUAAACAACGUCUUUCG